GACGAACGCUGGCGGCGUGCUUAACACAUGCAAGUCGAACGGAAACGCCCUGCUUUUGUGCGCUGCUCGAGUGGCGAACGGGUGAGUAACACGUGAGUAACCUGCCCUUGACUUUGGGGUAACUUCAGGAAACUGGGGUUAAUCCCAGAUAGGAUCUCCUGCUGCAUGGUGGGCGUUGGAAAGUUUCGGCGGUUGGGGAUGGACUGGCGGCUUAUCAGCUUGCUGGUUGGGUAGUGGCUUACCAAGGCUUUGACGGGUAGCCGGCCUGAGAGGGUGACCGGGGACAUUGGGACUGAGAUACGGCCCAGACUCGAACGGGAGGCAGCAGUGGGGAAUAUUACACAGUGGGCGGGAGCCUGAUGCAGCAACGCCGCGGGCGGGAAGACGGCCUGCGGGUUGUGAACCGCAUUCGCCUGUGACGAAGCGGGAGUGACGGUAAUGGGAAAAGAAGCACCGGCUAACUACGUG
rnacentral:rRNA from 1 species